GCGCAGGCUCCCUGUGCCGGGGGGCAGCUCUGCUGGCCGGCUUUCUGUUGCCCCUCCGUCUCGGGUCCGCUCUGGGCGGUCGCCCCGACGCACCGCGCUGCGGACUCCGGCAGAAAGAAUGGAGCUGCCCGGGGCGCACUUCCCCGGAGCCUGAGGCUGGCGACACCCCAGGGCGAGGGCGCGCAGUACGGUGGGAGGACCUGGCCUUACGGGACGGAGGUUCGGACAGGGAAGUGGGCUUUUCAGGGACUUGGGUGGGCAUGGGGUGCUGCGGCGUGGGAGGGCAACCAGGCCACGGGACAAGCCAGAGUUCUCCGUGAGUGGCACGGCCGGCUGCGGACUUCGCACACCUGCGAUCCAUUUCUCACACCUGAGACUCUGGAGCAGUUCCAGCUGCGGUCCCGCGAGGACUGGCUCCGCUUUGCAGCCUGAGAGCUUUCUAGCAGCCUUAGUUGCCUCCUGCCCCCCAGGUCUCUCACAUCCUGUUACCUAAGCCACGGCAAAAUGGCAUUAAAACCAUAGGCCAUAUUUAAACGUGGGCUACACCGUCAGGUGUUGCUCCUCAGCCUUUUGGGGCAUUCCCAGUUUUCUCUAAUGAGCCCUACGCCAACCCCCACAUAGCUUCCUCGCCUUCAGAUUGGUCUGCGUGGCUCCUACUCAGCGCGGAGCUUGGCUGUUCUCUCAGACUGUCGCGUUUUGUUCCCGUGCUUCAAGCACACGCUCAGAUGUCCCCGAGGCCUUGAACCCUUUCCUCAGUCUCUUCAUCCUUAGCAUUAUCUGGCCUGCCCGCCUGUGAGGGUGUUCCUAGCUGCUUGGCUAACACGAGAGAUGCUACAAGAGGCUCUGAGCAUCUCUAGGGGCAACAGGGAACGAGGCUGACCCAGAUAAGACCGUUUUGAAGGAUGGAAAAGAAAUGCGGCCUUGUGUACUCGGAUAUUUGGCUGCCACACCUGUGACUCUGUACCCCAGGUGUAGGUGUGGAGCUGGCUCUGGCUGUGGCCCCAGGCUCCAAGGGAAGGAGGCAAGGAGAGCUACUAGAAAAGUUGUGUUGGGGCUGGGGUGAGGGUCAGUUGUGCUUGGGCAGCAUGCUUGGUUCCCGACACCACAUAACCUGUCUACGGUCCCAGCACUGGCGAGGUGGAGGCAGGACGCUCAGAUGUCUAACGUCUGUGGCUAUACAGCAGGUUUGAGGUUGUUUAGGGCACUUGAGACUCCUGCCUUGGGUGUGAUCAGAAAGCUAUUAGGCAGGAUGCAAGACAAGGCUGGGCCACAUCUGGAGGGAACAAAUGGCAGAGAGGAAACUAAGGGUGAGCUGUGUUACCGCAGGCCUUGGGCAGGCUCCUCUGGUGAAUACCGUUUGUCUUUGGGUCACUUUAAGACUUUGUGAGUGAACCAGAACUCUAGAGAAAAGGGACAGUGACAUAUAGCCCAAGCUGUGGUUCCUUGGAUGAGCCCCUUCCCUUCCCCUAACCUCCUCAUGCUGUGACUUUUGCUCUGUGAACCACCACUGCCUUUUUGCCAUCGUGAAGUUCCCUCCCCUGAGACCUGGGACUCUGGUGUUGCUGGGACUGCAUCACCCAGAAACUCAAUGCAGAACCUGCCAGAGGCCAGACUGACCGCAGGCUUUGGUUCAUUAGGUAUGAGUCUGCAAAGCUCAGAAUGUUAGGGUUCAUGUUUAUGAUGCAUGUAACCAACACUAAAGCCAUGCCAUUUUCUCUAAAAUUCCCUGUUUAUUAGAUCUCAGCUUUACAACAGCGACAAGCCACAUGAGAGGGAAAUGUUGGCUGCUGAGCCCUGCCAAGAGGGUAGCAGAAGGCUGGUGUUUUAUUUUAGUCUUUCCUCCAGGGAGGACCUGUGCAAAGUGGUUCAUGCCCAUAAUCUCAGCACUUUGAGAGGCUGAGGUUAAGAGACUUACCAGUAGUUCAAGGCUAGGCUAGACUACCCAAAAUGAGAUCGUUUUGAAAAAAACAAGAACAGGUCCCAGAGUUGGGCAAGGGCUUGGCUGAGGGGUUGCAGGCAACUUAGAGCCUAGCUCAGGUGCUCUCUCCCCACAGGGCCUCAGCUAUGUUGCGCAGGUUGGGCUGUGUGCUGUUCUGCAGCCUUGUGGCACUGCUGCUCAGCUGCCUGCUCUUUCUGAAGGAACACACACCAGCAGGGAGCUCGAAGGCCCAUCAGCACUUAGGGGUGCUGCCAGAGUCCCAGCACAGCCAGUGCUCACCCAACCUAACAAUUGCUAAUGCCUCCCUGUCCCUGCCCAGCCGCCAUCGCCUCUUCUUAACCUACCAACACUGCCGAAGCUUCUCCAUCUUGCUGGAGCCUUCUGAGUGUGCCAGGGACACCUUCCUGCUCCUGGUCAUCAAGUCACAGCCUGGCCAUAUUGAGCAGCGUGCAGCCAUUAGAAGCACUUGGGGCCGGGCAGGGAGCUGGACUAGGGGCCGGCAGCUGAAGCUGGUGUUCCUCCUGGGGGUGGCAGGACCUGUGCCCCCAGCCCAGCUGCUGGCCUAUGAGAGUUGGCAGUUCGAUGACAUCCUACAGUGGGACUUUGCUGAGGAUUUCUUCAACCUAACACUGAAGGAGCUGCAUGUGCAGCGCUGGAUGGCAGCCGCCUGCACACAAGCCCACUUCAUACUAAAGGGAGACGAUGAUGUCUUCAUCCAUGUUCCCAAUGUGCUCGAGUUCCUGGAGGGCUGGGAUCCUGCCCAGGACCUCUUGGUGGGAGAUGUCAUCCACCAGGCCCGGCCUAACAGGAACACCAAAGUCAAAUACUUCAUUCCCUUCUCCAUGUACAGGGCCCGCCACUAUCCACCUUAUGCAGGAGGAGGUGGCUAUGUUAUGUCCCAGACGACUGUGAGGCGUCUUCACACAGCCAUGGAAGAGGUAGAACUCUUCCCCAUCGAUGAUGUCUUUGUGGGGAUGUGCCUGAAAAAGCUGGGGGUGACCCCUACACACCAUGCUGGCUUCAAGACAUUUGGAAUCCAACAGCCCCUGAACCCAUGGGACCCUUGCCUGUACAGAGGGCUCUUGCUGGUGCAUCGUCUAAGCCCCCUGGAGAUGUGGACCAUGUGGGCACUGGUGACAGAUGAGAGGCUCAAGUGUGGGGCUCCCCCUAAACCCUAGCCCUGAGGGGUGGGUUGAGCAAUCGCUCUAGUGACUGAUGAUUUCCUACCACAGAAUGAGAGCCGGCCCUUGCUGGUCAGUAAGAAUCAAUUCAUUUUUAUAAUGCCACCAACCUGAAACCUGGCAAAUUUAGCCAGCAUGUGCUGAAUGGGAGUGUAUGCUCCCAGGAAGGCCCAGGGCCCCUACAACUCCCACCAUUUAGGCAGUGAAGGACAUUGCAUGAGAGCCACAAAGACUUUUUCUUUUAUUUUUUAAUGCAAACACCAAACUUCUCUUCCUUUGGAUACAGCAGAGAAACUCGAAGGAAGGGAGAAAGGAAGGAGAAGCAUGAGUUGGAGAAGGACCUGUGGGGAGCAUCAGGUGGACACUGUCAUGCUCUGAUCUGAGAAACUCCUUAGCUGAGCUGUGCCCAUAGGCACAAAGGACAUUAGAAACACAAAUUUUUACAAACCAGGCUCCCUUCUUUGGAGCAAACAUUAAAUUAUACUUGAAAAUCUGAGCAAUAUUAAAAACUGUAAGUAAACAGCUAUUGAACUUAAGGGUGUGGCAGAAAAGGCCCCUUCUCCCCUGGCCCCGGUUGCUUUGGGUAUGAGGUGAAAAGAUGGGCGAGAGAGAGCUGAGUGGGACAGUGCUGAAUGAACCACGCUCAGGCUAAGAACCAGGCCCAUAGACUGAGGCCAGAGAAGGACAGGCACAGCUCACAAAGGCUUCUGGUCUGACUGGCAAGGGCAGAAGCUGUCUCCACAGAGUUGGGGCGACACUAGGUGGAUGCCAUCACCUGCUUCCCCACUGAUAAGGCAGACAUGGCAGUGGGCUCAAGCCCUCAAUCUUCACGCAGGUAGGCGUCCUCUUCUUGGUCAGCCCUCUCGUCACCAGCUUCCUGGGUUUUCUGGUGCAACUCUUGUGUCUGUGUUUCAGCCAGCUUGGUUUCUGCUUUCUGGGAGAGCUGGCGCACCUCCUGCACCUGCGACUUCACCAACUGGAUGUGAUUCCUGGCGGUUAUAGAGGCCUGAUCGGCUCCUGUCAAGAGAAGGGACAGUGCAUGGAGCACAGAGAAGUCAGACAUGAAGGCCCGAGACUGCAGCUUGUUCCUCAUGAGGUUUCCUUCCUCGACAUCCUGCUUCUGAGUUCAGCUUGGGAUUGUUUAAAUAAUUUUGAUUUACUAUGUGAGUGGAUGCUACAUGUAUGAGGUACCUGUGGAGACCAGAAGAGGGCAUCAGAUCCCCGUGGAUGUGGGUCCUCUGAAGAGCAGCAAGCACUUUUUUUUAAAGAUUUUAUUUAUUGAUUAUUUAUUAUGUAUACAGUGUUCUGCCUGCAUGUAUGCCUUCCUGACAGAAGAGGGCACCAGAUCUCAUUACAGAUGGUUGUGAGAUUAUAGGCAUGAACCACCAUAUCCAGCACUUUAACAUUUUAAUACAAAGAAACACGAAGCAACGGCUCAAUUUGUUUGCUUUCUAAUUGUAGCCUGGUGUCUUCAGAGUGGGAGUGUACAGGAACUUCAAGACCCAAAAGUGCCUGUGAGGUCAGUGCCAGCACUGACCCCGAGCAGGGAAAGAAUGAAAGAAUGCUCUACUGUUUUCA